rnacentral:rRNA from 1 species
UNAAUUUANAACCUAAAGAAUUUGGCGGUUCUUAAACUUACUAGAGGAACCUGUCCUAUAAUCGAUAGUCCACGAUAUUAUUUACCUAUCUUAGUUAUCAGCUUAUAUACCGCCGUUUAGUGAAUUAAUAAUAAUUUCCCUCAAUUAAUUAGUUAAGGAAAUCAGGUCAAGGUGUAGUUUAUAGAUAGGAAGAGAUGGGUUACAAUAAUACUUUAUUACGGAUAGUAAACCCUAGGUUAAGCUUGAAGGUGGAUUUAGAAGUAAAUUUUACUGAUUUGAAGCAAGCUCUUNAGAAUGUACACAU